rnacentral:rRNA from 1 species
AGUGAACGCUGGCGGUAGGCCUAACACAUGCAAGUCGAACGGCAGCACAGUAAGAGCUUGCUCUUACGGGUGGCGAGUGGCGGACGGGUGAGGAAUACAUCGGAAUCUACUUUUUCGUGGGGGAUAACGUAGGGAAACUUACGCUAAUACCGCAUACGACCUACGGGUGAAAGCAGGGGAUCUUCGGACCUUGCGCGAUUGAAUGAGCCGAUGUCGGAUUAGCUAGUUGGCGGGGUAAAGACCCACCAAGGCGACGAUCCGUAGCUGAUCUGAGAGGAUGAUCAGCCACACUGGAACUGAGACACGGUCCAGACUCCUACGGGAGGCAGCAGUGGGGAAUAUUGGACAAUGGGCGCAAGCCUGAUCCAGCCAUACCGCGUGGGUGAAGAAGGCCUUCGGGUUGUAAAGCCCUUUUGUUGGGAAAGAAAAGCAGCAGGUUAAUACCCCGCUGUUCUGACGGUACCCAAAGAAUAAGCACCGGCUAACUUCGUG